UGGGUGGGUGGGUGCAUAUUAGUGCAUUGGGUAUUUCUGAAUCUCAUUGAGUGUUGUUGUCUUCACAGGCCACCACAAUAAGUGUACACGUUCAGACAUAUGGUUCAUGGAUGCUGCCUGCCAGACAGACUGCAUUGCCACCUGGACUACAGCCACACCAGUUAUCCUUGAAGACAUUGCUGCCCCAGCCAUGGAGUAAAUAUGGCUCUCCUCUACAAUGAAAAUUCAAACGAACAACCGGCCCUAUGACUACCUGCAGGAGGUGUACCUUUCUUCAAAAUUGCCAAGACCAAGAAGGGAUAGUGCAUCAACCAUCAAAAGAUUAAGCCAACCUUUUGGUUAUGUUCAUGUUCGUGGAACUCAUUCUGGACAAGGUCUUUGGGAACCCUGCAAAGCAGACUGAGGCAAUGUUGGCGUUGGUGCAGUUCACAGACGAGCCAGCCAGAUAAAGAGGUCACAGCAAGCCUUGUGUUGAGGUUCAUGCGUACUGCAGUCUGAAUCCCCGGUGUAGUGUCCUUCGUCAUCAAGGAACUCAGCAUGGAUAUGCACGACAACACGGGAAUCACUGUUGGACUUGAAGCAGCUGGAAAAAAAGAAAAGACAGUUGCAGAGAUUGUUAUUGCCGUCAUUCUUUCACUACAAUAUUUGUCUUCAAUAAAUAUGUUCCUAUGGAAUACUCUUGAUGCUGUUGUAAAUAAAUGUUCACACUGCCUUUA